UUUUGUGAUUUUCCAAUUAUUUUUAGAUACAGAUGUUUCUGCUUUAUGUAAAGAAUAUUUACAAAGAACUGCCUAAUCACUUGCAUCUUAUAUUUGAACUACGACCUACUCCAAAUGUAAAAGAUUUAUCGGCAACUACGUUGGAACUUUUAUUGAAAGAAACAUUUACCAUAACACAGAUUCAAAUUGAGAAAAGUGGAAAAAGAAUCCCGAAUUCAACUACCCAGAUGGUCAUUUUAAUCCCAAAAGCUAUGUCCUUAAAGAAACUGGCAGAGCUACCUAUAAUUUUUGUCUUGAUGUACCAGCUAUAUAAAAUGAGUGUUCAUAAAGAUGUCUAAGAAUUUAUACCAUUGAUAAUGACAACUAUUACUUUACAACCCACAACUCAACAGAGGUCAUUUUAAUCCCAAAAGCUAUGUCCUUAAAGGAACUGGCAGAGCUACCUAUAAUUUUUGUCUUGAUGUACCAGCUAUAUAAAAUGAGUGUUCAUAAAGAUGUCUAAGAAUUUAUACCAUUGAUAAUGACAACUAAUACUUUACAACCCACAACUCAACAGAGGAGAAAUCCAUCUUUCAACAAAGAAGUUUAUGUUAACUUUAUGGCUGCAUAGAUAAAAACAUUAUCCUUUCUAGCUUGCCUAGUUAGAAUAUAUCAAUAUGUUGUGAAUGAACAUUCCUCACAGUUUGCUAAAGGAAGGAUAAGAUUGUUGUAUCUAUGUCCUCAAGAAGUUGCCCACUUGUGCAAAGAAUUGCUCGUAGCAGCCCGUCAUAUUUUAGCCACAGAGCUGAGAUAGCCUCUUGCUUAUAGUACUUUAGCUGAUCUUGUUCAUCAUAUGAGACAAUAUUUAUAGUUGAUGGAUCUGACUAAGGCUGUAAAUGUGCUCUCAAAAAAUGUUAAUGAUGAAUCUUUAGUAACUGCAAUUCAAACAAUGUCUUGUAAGCUUAUUCUAAAUUUAGUUGAAUGCAUUAGAAUAAGAUCUGAUCGAGAAAAUGGCAAUUUUCAGGCAAAAUUUGGUUUUCCUGCUUCUCAGGCAGUUAAUUAUAGCAUUGCAGAAUGUAGAAACUUAGUGAAAACUUUAGUAUGUUCAGCGAAAACAGUUACUUGGGGGAAUUACGGCUUGCAAGUUUUCUGGCGAUUCAAACACUAAUCCAAGUAAGCAAUACCAACCUAAAGAAACUUAUUAGGUUGAUCAAGUAUGCUCAACGAACUCUGGAUGUUUAUAAGUUAACAGUCCCUACUCCUGGACAAGCUGUUCAGCAGCAACCAAUGACGUAAGUAUUGUGUCAAUUAUAAUACUCAGGGGUCUGUCUAGGUUUUUCUGAG